UACGUAGGGUGCGAGCGUUGUCCGGAAUUACUGGGCGUAAAGAGCUCGUAGGUGGUUUGUCGCGUUGUCCGUGAAAAACUCACAACUCAAUUGUGGGCGUGCGGGCGAUACGGGCAGACUGGAGUACUGCAGGGGAGACUGGAAUUCCUGGUGUAGCGGUGGAAUGCGCAGAUAUCAGGAGGAACACCGGUGGCGAAGGCGGUUCUCUGGGCAUUACCUGACGCUGAGGAGCGAAAGUGUGGGGAGCGAACAGG
rnacentral:rRNA from 1 species